CCCCCUCCUUCUCUCUCUCUCUCUCUUCCUAUUUCUCUCCCAAAAAUAUCUGACCAUCCACAAGAAAUAGUAGUGUGAAAUAUUCACUCAUCUUAUCAGUACUUCCCUUCAUCAAAAUAGACAAGUACUAGAAUAGAACCAAGAAGUAGGGAAGAAGAAAAAAGAUGAAUGAUUAAGUAAAGCUAAAGCUAAGCUAUCGCUCUCUCUUUUUCUCCUCCUCUCUUCUUCUCCUCCUCUUCGUCCUAUCUAUCGCCUACAAGAAAACAACUAUUUAGUUCAUUUACCAGCAACUGAGAAGCGAAACAAGAAAGCAAAACAAAAAAAGAAGAAAGAAAAAUGUCCCUAGAGGACUCCUUAAGAUCUUUAUCCUUAGACUAUCUGAAUCUGCUGAUCAACGGUCAAGCUUUCAGCGAUGUAACCUUCAGCGUAGAGGGUCGUUUAGUCCAUGCUCACAGGUGUAUUCUUGCAGCCAGGAGCUUAUUCUUUAGGAAAUUCUUUUGUGGGCCGGACACGCCGGCGGGUCUGGACCCAUCGGGGUCGAGGAUGGGCGGCCCGGCCGGCGCCUUGGCAUCGUCCCCGAGAGGGUCAAACUCGCAGGUGAUACCAGUGAACUCGGUUGGGUAUGAAGUUUUCUUGCUGAUGCUUCAGUUUUUGUAUAGUGGACAAGUCUCAAUUGUGCCUCAGAAACAUGAGCCAAGGCCUAAUUGUGGUGAGAGAGGAUGUUGGCACACACAUUGCACCUCAGCCGUUGAUCUUGCUCUUGAUACUCUCGCUGCCGCUAGAUCUUUUGGUGUUGAACAGCUCGCAUUGCUCACUCAGAAGCAAUUGGCCAGCAUGGUUGAGAAGGCCUCAAUUGAAGAUGUCAUGAAAGUGUUAAUAGCUUCAAGAAAACAAGACAUGCACCAACUCUGGACUACUUGUUCACAUUUGGUAGCAAAAUCUGGCCUACCACCAGAAGUCCUUGCUAAACACCUUCCCAUCGAUGUAGUAGCCAAGAUUGAAGAGCUCCGCCUCAAAACAUCGCUUGUUCGAGGAUCUCUGAUGCCUCACCACCACCACCACCACAACCAUGAUAUCAGUGCUGCAGCUGAGCUCGAGGGCCAGAAAAUUCGCCGAAUGAGACGGGCACUCGACUCGUCUGACGUCGAACUUGUCAAGCUUAUGGUAAUGGGAGAAGGGCUUAAUUUGGAUGAUGCAUUGGCCCUACAUUAUGCAGUUGAGAAUUGUAGCCGAGAGGUGGUAAAAGCGUUGCUUGAGCUUGGAGCUGCUGAUGUUAACUACCCAGCUGGGCCAGCAGGCAAAACCCCACUUCACAUUGCAGCCGAAAUGGUGUCCCCAGACAUGGUGGCGGUCCUUCUUGACCACCAUGCCGACCCAAAUGUCCGAACUGUCGAUGGGAUCACUCCGUUAGACAUCCUUCGAACCCUAACUUCUGAUUUUCUAUUCAAGGGUGCUGUCCCGGGGCUAACUCAUAUCGAACCAAACAAGCUCAGGCUUUGUCUGGAGCUAGUUCAAUCAGCUGCUAUGGUGAUCUCUCGGGAGGAAGGCAAUGCAAAUGCGCCAGCUUCGGCUACAAUCUACCCUCCAAUGAGCGAGGAGCAUACGAGUAGUAGUAGCAGUGGCAACAUGGCCAACUUGAAUCUUGAUUCGAGAAUGGUUUAUCUGAAUCUUGGUGCAGCUGCAUCAGCUGGCCAAAUGGGGUGCAAGAUGACUGACGGAGAUGAACAUCACAGUAGCCACGGUAGCCAAAGAGAAGCUUUGAGUCGCCAUGGUUCCCAAGGUGGUUGUGAUCCAUCGAUUUAUCACCAUCAUUCUCAUGAUUAUUAGUAAUUUAGCUUCAUCAACUGUCGAGGAAGUGGAAGAACCCUCUCUAGAUCUUUCUCUAUCUCUCUCUUCCUCUUCUUUGAACCUAUCUUUCUUGAUUUAUUGGCCAGCCUUCAGAAGUGGGAUGGACGGACAAGCACAAAAAGGUCUUUCCAAUGAUAAAUGAUGCGCAGUGCAUGUGGUGGCAAUUAGGGAUGGAUGGAAUUUUUCUCACCAGAUGGGACAAGGAGAAUCCAAGUUUUGCUGAGUGAUGGAGAGGACGCAGGUCAUCAAUCUUUUCAAUCCCCGGCCUGUCAACUCCUUUUGUUUUUAUUGGUACAUCUAAUGUCAUGGACAAUUUUCAAUGAUCUAUUAGUUUUACUUUUCUAGUCUCCUCAACCAAGUGCCAACCUCUCAUAACACUAUAGAAUAACUAUUAGAUGUCGAAGCAUAUAUUCAUUAUUA